UACGUAGGGGCUAGCGUUAUCCGGAAUUACUGGGCGUAAAGGGUGCGUAGGUGGUUUCUUAAGUCAGAGGUGAAAGGCUACGGCUCAACCGUAGUAAGCCUUUGAAACUGGGAAACUUGAGUGCAGGAGAGGAGAGUGGAAUUCCUAGUGUAGCGGUGAAAUGCGUAGAUAUUAGGAGGAACACCAGUUGCGAAGGCGGCUCUCUGGACUGUAACUGGCACUGAGGCACGAAAGCGUGGGGAGCAAACAGGAUUAGAUACCCUGGUAGUCCCUGAG
rnacentral:rRNA from 1 species